rnacentral:rRNA from 1 species
GACGAACGCUGGCGGCGUGCCUAAUACAUGCAAGUUGAGCGAUGAAGAUUGGUGCUUGCACCAAUUUGAAGAGCAGCGAACGGGUGAGUAACGCGUGGGGAAUCUGCCUUUGAGCGGGGGACAACAUUUGGAAACGAAUGCUAAUACCGCAUAACAACUUUAAACAUAAGUUUUAAGUUUGAAAGAUGCAAUUGCAUCACUCAAAGAUGAUCCCGCGUUGUAUUAGCUAGUUGGUGAGGUAAAGGCUCACCAAGGCGAGGAUACAUAGCCGACCUGAGAGGGUGAUAGGCCAAAUUGGGACGGAGACACGGCCCAAACUCCUACGGGAGGCAGCAGUAGGGAAUCUUAGGCAAAGGACGAAAGUCUGAACGAGCAACGCCGCGUGAGUGAAGAAGGUUUUCGGAUCGUAAAACUCUGUUGGUAGAGAAGAACGUUGGUGAGAGUGGAAAGCUCAUCAAGUGACGGUAACUACCCAGAAAGGGACGGCUAACUACGUG